GGCCUCCCCGUUCGCCUCCCAGAGGCCGCCACUUUCUUCAGGGCUAUCAGAUGAAGGCAGCAACGAAAACACCACCACAAGACCAACUUCAGGCUGGAGCUGAUGAUGCCACACAGCAAAUCAGCGAGAAAAAAGAAAAUAGACUCUACUUAGAAAUGAAACUCAACUAAAGGUAAAAGUUGUCAGGAACAUCUCCAAGAAAGCCAGAGUCAGCCUCUAAACUUUGCAUCAAGAACGCAAUGGCUUCCCUGAGGGCCCAGGGACGCGUGGCAGCUGUGAGGCAGCCCCUUCUCUGCUGUCGAGGAACUGGACACUUCUCCUGUCCCUUCCCACAAGGUAUAAUAUUAGGCAGAAACCCAAUAUAAAAAGAAAAGCAGAGUUGUUGUAGAUUCAUCGAGGGUUGGCGACCUGGUUCCAAUGAGCCAUCUCCCUGUUCCGACAGGGGCUUCCUGGAGCUCCUGCAACCCCAGGCAUUAGUUCCGGUGCAGUUCUAGGAUCAGAUCAAUUCACUCGACAACAAGAGAAACAAAUGGAGAUUCCUACACAAAGACUUUCAAGCACAAAGAAAUCCUGCUGCCUGUAAAGCGGAGCUGCCUCAGCCCUUGAUGAACGACAGAAAAUACCACCUACUGCCAGACCUCAACGCCUCACAAAACUCUCACCCACCUACUGCUUUUAGCUCACAUUCCAGGAAUUCAGAUGAAGUGAAGUGCUCUCAUGGGGACCAGGCAUGGUUAUGCCAGUCCACUGCCCUGCAAGCCUCAAGGGAAGCCAACUGCCCUUCAGCAAGUCACACCUGCCUUGGUGGAGG
rnacentral:lncRNA from 10 species